GUGCGAAUGGCUCAAUGGUAGAGCACCGAGAGUAAUGACCUCGGGGGUUGGGGGUUCGAUUCCCUCUUCGCGCG
rnacentral:tRNA from 1 species